GCGGGGGUGCCCGAGCUAGGACAAAGGGGGCGGCCUGGAAAACACAGGCCCACACUUAAGAUCCGCUGGCGUAGGCCUGCCCGGGUUCGAAUCCCGGCCCCCGCA
rnacentral:tRNA from 1 species